GAUGAACGCUGGCGGCGUGCCUAAUACAUGCAAGUCGAGCGGACAGACGAGGAGCUUGCUCCUCUGACGUUAGCGGCGGACGGGAGAGUAACACGUGGAUAACCUACCUAUCAGACUGGGAUCACUUCGGGACACCGGCGCUAAUACCGGAUGAUCUAUUGAACCGCAUGGUUGGAUGGUGAAAGACGGCUUUGCUGUCUCUUCUAGAUGGAUCCGAGCUGUAUUAGCUAGUUGGUAAGGUAACGGCCUACCAAGGCAACUAUGCGUAGCCGACCGGACGGGGUGAUCGGCCACACUGGAGCUUGGACACGCUCCUGGCGCCUGCGGGAGGGAGCAGUAGGGUAUCUUCCGCAGUAGUCGAGAGCCUUGCGGAGCAACCCCACGUGUGUUGUGGAGGUCUUCCGAUCGUAAAACUCUGUUAUUAGUGAUGAACAAAUUUGUAAGUAGCUAUGCACGUCGUGACGGUACCUAAUCAGAAAGCCCCGGCUAACUACGUG
rnacentral:rRNA from 1 species